AUCCUUUUGUAGUUUGUAAGUCUGAUGAUUGGGAUUUCAUGUUCACGUGUGAGAUAUCUCUCUCAAACUUUGUUACAAUGUCAGCACAUUACCCAUAUGAUG